GUGGGAACUCAUGGGAUACUGCCGGGGUCAACUCGGAGGAAGGUGGGGAUGACGUCAAAUCAUCAUGCCCCUUAUGUCUUGGGCUUCACGCAUGCUACAAUGGCCGGUACAAAGGGCUGCAAUACCGUAAGGUGGAGCGAAUCCCAAAAAGCCGGUCCCAGUUCGGAUUGAGGUCUGCAACUCGACCUCAUGAAGUCGGAGUCGCUAGUAAUCGCAGAUCAGCAAGGGCUGCGGUGAAUACGUUCCCGGGUCUUGUACACUCCUCCCUUCAAAUCAUGAAAGUCGGUAACACCUGAAGCCGG
rnacentral:rRNA from 1 species